rnacentral:lncRNA from 1 species
AGUGGGAGGCGGGGGGGGGGGUUGUGAUUCCGGAAGGUGUGCAAACUCAGUCUUUUAGGGAAAGGGGCAAGGAGUGAGCCCGAGCAGGAGUUCUGGAAAAAGAUCUCGUAGGCUACAGGUAGACAUAGGAAGCCACAGAAGACCUGAUGACCUCAAAGCAGAAGAAGCACGAGGAAGAAAAGACAGCAGGACCGAAGGGCCGAGUAUGCAGCUCAGAGAGAAGCUGCUUGGUGGAGAAGGGGAGAACGGGGCAGCUCAGCAAGGCCCAGAUGGGAGGGUCCCGGAUGCAGAGCUGGGGACACUAGAGGUGCUUAUGUUGCUUCCUGACCUGGACUGCUGGCCAAGGAUGCUGCCCCAUGUUGCUAAGCAAGCCUGGCCUCUUAGGACCACCAGUGAGUGCAGUCUGGGAUCUAAUCUUCCGGACUGUAUGGAGAUGCUGACGGGGACUUCCCUGUCAGGAGCCAGGUUCCCUGUGGGGUGACAUCCUGAGAUGGGGAGGAAGGGGAAAAAUGGUUUUGCUGUCCUUUUCCAGAGUUGCCACUGAACUUAUCCUUCCUCACUGAGUGCCUGAUGAUGUCCCCCAGAGAGCAGAGACAGCAGGAAGUCCUGGGAGGGGGUGUGCCUCUUUUGUCUUCUGGAGGGAGCCUGCCCUGGCCAGGUCAGCUGUGGCCAGGCCAAGUUCUCCUCCCAUCCCUCCUCAAGUAUUUAUAGAAGUUAUUUUGGGAAUUUUGUUUCUGAGCUCAAGGCACAUUCCUGGGAUUCUGUAGCAGCCUUUCCAGCUGCGAAGCUGGGAAUCAGCUAGAGGCUUCUGGAGCCUUCAGGUCCCUGGAGCCCCGAUAGGGAAGGAGCCUGCUCUAGAGCAGGACCACACCCUGAGGAGGCCACAGGAAGGCAUCUCUGCAUCUCUGGUCCCCUAGGUGUAUCCUCCUCCAGUCCCACCCGCCA